rnacentral:rRNA from 1 species
UACAGAGGGGGCAAGCGUUAUUCGGAAUUAUUGGGCGUAAAGGGCGCGUAGGCGGCUUAGCAAGUGACGGGUGAAAUCCCUCGGCUUAACCGAGGAACUGCCUGUCAAACUGCAUGGCUUGAGACCGGGAGAGGUGAGUGGAAUUCCCAGUGUAGCGGUGAAAUGCGUAGAUAUUGGGAGGAACACCAGUGGCGAAGGCGACUCACUGGACCGGUACUGACGCUGAGACGCGAAAGCGUGGGGAGCGAACAGG